rnacentral:rRNA from 1 species
CCUACGGGGGGCUGCAGUGGGGAAUAUUGGGCAAUGGGCGCAAGCCUGACCCAGCAACGCCGCGUGAGGGAAGAAGGUUUUCGGAUUGUAAACCUCUGUCGCAGAUGACGAAACAAAUGACGGUAAUCUGUGAGGAAGCCCCGGCUAACUACGUGCCAGCAGCCGCGGUAAUACGUAGGGGGCGAGCGUUGUCCGGAAUUACUGGGCGUAAAGGGAGCGUAGGCGGUCGAUUAAGUUGGAUGUGAAAUACCCGGGCUUAACUUGGGGGGUGCAUCCAAUACUGGUUGACUAGAGUACAGGAGAGGAAAGCGGAAUUCCUAGUGUAGCGGUGAAAUGCAUAGAUAUUAGGAGGAACAUCGGUGGCGAAGGCGGCUUUCUGGACUGACACUGACGCUGAGGCUCGAAAGCGUGGGGAGCAAACAGGCUUAGAUACCCCUGUAGUC